AGAGUUUGAUCCUGGCUCAGAUUGAACGCUGGCGGAAUGCUUUACACAUGCAAGUCGAACGAUGAACCUUAGCUUGCUAAGGGGAUUAGUGGCGAACGGGUGAGUAAUAUAUCGGAACGUACCUUGUAAUGGGGGAUAACUAGUCGAAAGAUUAGCUAAUACCGCAUACGCCCUGAGGGGGAAAGUAGGGGAUCUUCGGACCUUACGUUAUAAGAGCGGCCGAUAUCUGAUUAGCUAGUUGGUGGGGUAAUGGCCUACCAAGGCGACGAUCAGUAGCUGGUCUGAGAGGACGACCAGCCACACUGGAACUGAGACACGGUCCAGACUCCUACGGGAGGCAGCAGUGGGGAAUUUUGGACAAUGGGCGCAAGCCUGAUCCAGCCAUUCCGCGUGAGUGAAGAAGGCCUUCGGGUUGUAAAGCUCUUUCGCAAGGGAAGAAAACUUACAUUCUAAUAAAGUGUGAGGCUGACGGUACCUUGAUAAGAAGCACCGGCUAACUACGUGCCAGCAGCCGCGGUAAUACGUAGGGUGCGAGCGUUAAUCGGAAUUACUGGGCGUAAAGCGUGCGCAGGCGGUUUUGUAAGUCAGAUGUGAAAUCCCCGAGCUCAACUUGGGAACUGCGUUUGAAACUACAAGACUAGAAUAUGUCAGAGGGGGGUAGAAUUCCACGUGUAGCAGUGAAAUGCGUAGAGAUGUGGAGGAAUACCAAUGGCGAAGGCAGCCCCCUGGGAUAAUAUUGACGCUCAUGCACGAAAGCGUGGGGAGCAAACAGGAUUAGAUACCCUGGUAGUCC
rnacentral:rRNA from 1 species